CCGUGCAAGUGGUUGUUUACAUUCUUUUACCGCAUGGAGCGGCAUUGGCACAUUAGCGCAACUGGCUCGUCAGCGAUGGUGCUGCAUACCAUGCGCGUCUCUUAUUGAUUGAAAACACUUAUAGUAAUGCUGCGCACUUAUAAUAUACAAAUUAUUUGUCAACUUAUCGAGUAGUUUAAUUGCUUAACUGGAUUGUGCACGGCUUAUAUAUAAUUGUGAAACUUGACAUGCGCCCAAUGGUUGGAGUACUGUACGGAUGGAUGGAUGGUACUGUACUAUAUGGAUACUACUGUACACUGUACAGUUAUAUUGGUUUACUUUCACUGCUUGAUUCAACAAGUUGUUUACAUUCUUUUACACUAUGGAGGAGCACUUUAACGCAUCUGGCUCGUCAAAGCCUUUCAACGCAUAUCUACUGCGUGCAUGCUUAUGCGUGCGUGCAGAUCAACUGGAAAAAAGUCCGCCAGGGUCGCUGCAAAAUUUUUUCCACUGGAGCCAAAGCCACAUUUCUGUUAACGAUUACUCCGCUAAUUGCAGAAUUUAUGAAUUUCUUGUACACGAAUUUCGGGGCUGCUAUAAACUACGAGGGUUUGAGUGGAAAAAGUUGGCCUGAACUUCUCAAAGAAUUUUUCCACCUUGUCAACGAAUGGAAAAUCAUCGCCGUACAACCUUGAAGCCGGACUCGCAUGGCCGGAAAUAUUUCAGUUUCCGGUAAUAGUGAUCCAAUAACGCGAGAGCAUCACUGAUGGACUUUGCACCAUUAACUGUGAUCUUGCCGUUGCGGUACACUUGGCAGUGCGAUUUGUAAGGACGAAUGGAACGGAGAAGAAGCCCGGAAAAUUUAUGUGGUGCAUAAUGAGCAAGCGGAGCGCGUUCGGAUAAGCUGGGUCGUUCACCAAUAAGCUCCAGCAUAUCCUGAAUCGCCCUGGCGAUGUCCAAGUAUAAAUAAUCUCCACGAUUAUGCCAGACAAGUCCGUGUGAGUGACGCGAUUGGCUCCUAAAUUCAACGCGGUAACGAUUAAAGUGGGAUGGAAUGGUGAAUGUGUAGCACCUGCUAACACUAGUUGGGCAAUCACAAAAUGCCAGCUGUUUUAUAAGCCGUUGGGAGCCAGCGAUAAACCAAUCAAUAUCUAAGACAACCCUCCGCUUUGAAGUCUCCAUUCUGUUAUCGGUACGCUAGCAAUAGCUCCGCCCUUUGGAAAUGGAUUCCUUAAAUAGGUAUCCGCGCACGACAGCUGAUUUGAGAUUCCGACUACCCGCUUCAGUCCUUGUUGUGGGGCCAACGACUUCGGGGAAAACGACAUAUGUGUCAAAAUUAAUUAUGGAGCGCGAUAAAUUAUUUGACCAACCAUUUGGACGAAUUAUUUUGGUGUACGGAGAAAUGCAGCCAGCCUACGAAGUGCUUCAGCGCAAAGUCCCUUGGAUUGA